rnacentral:snRNA from 1 species
GUACUUUCCUGAAAAGGCAGAUAAUGAUAAAGAAGGUGGUUUUCUGGGAUGAGACCUCCAUUCCACUCCAAAUGUGCUGACCACUUCAGUUUCCCCAGAUGCAAGAAACUCAGCUGCAUAAUUUGUGGGAGAGGGAGACUGCCUUCCC